CAACUAGAGCAGCGGUCUUUCUGCUUUCUUUCAGCUGCAUAACCCUUUCCUCCAUCCAAAAUCGCAAGCCUAACCUGGCCGUGUAAACAAACACCAGGGAAGCGCCUCUGAUGGAAGGGGAUGGGGCACCUAAGGCCCUGUCUCUCACCAUGUAGCAUCCUCCCCACUCCUAACAGACACUUUGGUGCUUCCAUGAAACCUGGAUCUAAAAGCUCUGUGCUCAUUAAAUCUACAUAUAACUCUCCAAGGAAAUAGUAUCCCCAUUUUUAUAAUACCAAGCUAAAGGCCAGAGAGGGAGAGUGUAGGAUCACACAAUUUUUUUUUUUUUUUGAGAUGGCGUUUCACUGUCACCCAGGCUAUAGUGCAAUGGCGUGAUCUCAGCUCACUGCAACCUCCACCUCCCUGAUUCAAGUGAUUCUCCUGCCUCAGCCUUCUGAGUAGCUGGGAUUAUAGGCGCGCGCCACCACGCCCAGCUAAUUUUUGUAUUUUAAUAGAGACGGGGUUUCACCAUAUUGGCCAGGCUGGUCUCCGAGCUCCUGACCUCAGGUGAUCCGCCUGCUUUGGCCUCUCAAAGUGCUGGGAUUAUAGGCGUGAGCCACCGCGUCCGGCCCAGGGACACGAUUAUUAAAGGGCAGAGAGCCAGACUGGGGAGGCAGGUGUGCUCCAUUCCCAAGCCCAUGCUUGCCCUGGCUCUGCCGGGAAGACAGUAGGUGCUUUGCUUCCUGAGAAAGGUCAGGAAGAGGCGUGGCUCCUCCAGCUGUACAGACGACCAGGCCAGAUCCACAUGGCCCCGUUUGGUGCUUGGAUGUCUGGUAAACUGCCUGCCAAGGAGGAACGCAGAGGUGAAGCACCUGGUCCGACCCAUCAUUUCACGCUGAAUCGCCUGUUGACCCAUCUCACUUGACUGACUCCUGGGAUGGAGGCCUGGCUCCCUCCAAGGCAGCCCCUUGCGUUGGAAGAAAGGCAAUGGUGUGAAGCCUGUCUGGUUGUACCCUCCAGCUGCGGGUCCUUACUCCAGCUCUCAGAACCAGAAGGAAUCUGUCUAAUUGCUCAUCUACUGGAGAGCCCUUGAGAGCCUCUUUGAAAAGGAGGAAGAGCUCGCAAAGGGUGACGGCAGAGAGAUGCCCAGAAUCUUGCAGGAGGAAGGAGAAUGCAGCCUAACUUGCUGGAAGGAUUCAGGAGACGUGUGAGUAAGAGCCAAGAUUUCCCAGAUCAGCCUACAGCCAAGAUAAGCACAGCUUUCUACCCAACCUGCACCUCACCACAGAGAAUGGAAGAAUCACUCAGCCAUCCUGUAUAUUGUAGCAAUAAUGUAUGGUUAUUUUUUCUAGGCACUGAGUUUUGGGAUGAUUUGUUAUGCAGCAACAGCUGGCUGCUACAGAGAUUGUGCCCACCCUCACAGCCCCCUGGAUCUGUGUGCUCGCACUGAGUUUUGGGAUGAUUUGUUAUGCAGCAACAGCUGGCUGCUACAGAGAUUGUGCCCACCCUCACAGCCCCCUGGAUCUGUGUGCUCUCACUGAAAAGCAAAAGUAACUUCUGUUUUUCUCUUCUCUGUGGCCACCAGGGCUGCUGCCCAAACAGAAAGGCAAUUUGCUUAGUGGUGGAGGUUGUGACCUCCAGAGUCAGACAGUCCUGGAAUCCUAUCCCAGCUGUGUGACCUGCAGUUGGCUUCUUAACCACUCUGUGCCUCAGUGUCUCCAUCUACAAAAGGCACAGUUUCUACCCCAUCAGGUUGUGGUAAGGACUAGAAAAGACAUUGGAAGUAAAGUGCAUGACACCAAAGUGCUCCAAAUGACAUUUUUUGUUGUUUAUUUGUGGUAGUUGAUGUUCAUAUUUUCCCAAAAAAGCCUCUUCUUAUCUUCAUCAGCCCAGAUUGCCUGAAUUUUUUGCCAGGAUAUCUUCCCAGUGGAGGGAGACAAGCUAGAAUUGGUAGCCACAUGCCUUUGGUGCAGAUUUCACAAACACUGUGAUUUUUGGCAAGCAGAGUCUGCCAGUUGCAUAGGAACAAGCCUGCCUGAUAACAUCCCAGUUUAACCAUCUCCAAAGCACUUUCAUAUCCAUGCUCAGAUUUGAAAGCCUCACAAGAAUCCUGGGAGGUGGGCAAGGCAGGAGCUGGCAGCCCCAUUUUAUAGACGAAGACACUGAGGUUUAGAGAGUUCCCCUGACUUGCAGAAGUUAAAAUGUGGCCCAGGUUAUCUGGUCACAGAGGAGAGCUGCCCCUGUCCUGGGCCACUCAACCUCUCCCACAGGGACAGAUCUCAGCCGUGGAGAUGCUGGAAAGAGCUCUGGAAUCCCUGAUGAGGGGCUACACCCUAGAGUCCUAAAUGUCCCUCUGUAGAAUACGAUUUUAUUCCCUGAGCAGGAGGGAUCUCUUCCUCUCCCUGUGCCAGCGGAGUAGUUUGGGAGUUAUAGUGGGAGAUCUCUUUAGUAUUUAGCAAAAUCAGGAUUUUAAAUUUAAUGGUGAUUAGGCAGGGUCCCUUCACACUGUCUAUCACCCCCGACAGAGUUAAAACAUCAAUAACAAUGCGGGUCCCAAUGGAGAUCCUUGUCCCCAGCGUCAUGAUGUCCAGGGAGCCUGGUUAUGGAUGUAGCCAGCUGUCUCACUGACUCUCUCCUUUGGGUUUAGCCUCACCUGCCAGCUCACUGGGUGUAAACAGGAGGUGGAGGGGUUCUUGCUGUGUGUUAUGUAUUUAUUCAUGGGUUUACUUAGUUGCUUCUCUACAAAACCAAACAUUGCCCCCUUUUUACCUCUUCUUCCCAAAAGUUACUUUCAGAGUUUGCCAAGAAGCCUGGAAAGUUGUUAUGGCUUCAGGAAGGCCCAAAACACAACCGAAAAACAAAAACCAAAAACACAGUGCAGCAAUAUUAAACAGCAUUGUGGAAAGAACUGCCCUGUAAAAUGGCUUUUGUGUUGGCCAGCUCCCUUCCAUAGCGGGUAGACUAUUAAAUGGGUGUAGCCAGAAGGAAUGGGCCAUUUUGCCGUCUACUCUCUUCCCUUACUAUUCUAUCAUAAGCAUUUUCCUUGUUGCAGCACAUUAAAUUAUGGUGUAUGCACCAGUAGAAUUUUAGACAGUCAUGAAAAAAAUGAUUAUUACAAAGAACAGAUUGUUUCUUGGAAUGCACCUUCCUGAUGAGGCAGCACCCUUUCUCAUUCUGUGCUUUGUAAAAAUUGCAAACUGGCUACCAGGCCUCAGAUGUCCCCCAGAGCUCCCUGUCUGAGGACAGAGCAAGGUAGAAAUCAUCUCAAACCAAGCUGAGCCCUGUGGUCUGGAGUGUCCCAGCUACAGGCAUAGUAUGCACCCUGCCCAGACCCCUGGCAAGCCCCUAUGCCCAGUCCCCCCUUCACACUCAUUUUUGGGUUGGUGCUGCUUUCUAGUUUUUCUCUCUGAUCUGUUACUCUCCUAGAACGUAAGGGCCUGGGAGGCAGGAAUCUCAGUUUAUCAGACUCUCCCGUUAUCCUUGUAUAAUAUUUGCAUUAAUGGGGACAAUGAUGGUGUUGAUGAUGGUAGGAGGAAGUUUAGUGCCUGGUAAAGCACUUUGGGACCCACAGACUGGAGUUAGGUCCCAGGACCCUCACUGACCAUCUUGCUUUGACGCUUUUGACCUUGACUUACACGAGCAUCAUCUCUGAUCCUCAUCACUGCUUUGAGAUGGUGAAAUUAUCAUCAUCCCCAUUUUUGAAGCUGAAGAAACUGAGGCACAGUUUAAGUAGCUGCUUCCAAUGUGAUAGAGUGAAUGAGGGUUAGAGAAACCUGGAUUCAAAGCCUGCCUCCACCCGCUACUGUCUGAUGCUGGCAAGUUUUGCAACCUCUCUGCACCUCCCUGUCCUCAGCCAGCCCCUGCACGGGCUUAAUAAAUUCUAACCACUCAUCCCUUCCCACAUGCUGUGAGCAAAUAACUGCUUGGGAGCUACUGGGCUCCGGGCAGAGAGCAGCUCUGCCUGAGUCACUCCGGAGCAACUGGUAUUGAUUGGGUGGGCACACCACCAGUGGCUGGCAGGGUGGGCCCCUAACCUCUGCCACCCCCGCCUAGGCCUCUUGUUCCUCUGUCUCCAAUCUCAUCCCACCAUGGCUGUGAAGAACAAGCCCACCUUCCUGCCUCAUGCCCUUCUCUGGGUCCUCUCAGCCACAGCAGCCCCCAACCUGCAUUUUCACCCUCCUCCAAACAGGCACUCCAUGGAGGGUCUGCCCUCAGCCCUGCAUUGCUGAGAGAGCCUCACUGGAGGCAGGGGACAACUGAGGGGUCCUAGACAGGAUGCUCUCAGGAGAUGG
rnacentral:lncRNA from 1 species